UAUACCUUAUUCACCUCUGCUGUGCCCAAGACUCGUGUGCGCCUAGCUCUUAAUUUUAUAUUGUUUGUAUCUAUGAUAUUGAUCUCUCGUUAUAAUAUUCAUAUGUUCCGCACAAUGGGAUAAUAGAAAUAUGCAUGGUUUAAUUACUUUCUUUCCAACAUAGGAACGCCAGACAUUCUUUAACGUCUAUAUCUGUGCAGACUGAGGACUCCUAUGCUACCAAUGAGGGAUAUCUAAAUGCGGUUUAUACGGACAUUUCGAAUUUACAAGAGGAAGAGUCUAGCAAUGAUGAUGCCUCAACCAGCUCAAACAUUCUUGAUCCAGAUAUGUAUCCUGGUAUCGACCCGAUUAUACCUGAUGUAUACAAUUAUUCAAAGUCGGAGGAGGAACAGGAGAGUGAUGUUUACAGCAUUCUGAAAGGAUCAGAAGAGAGGAUGCUGAGGAUGGGGAGAGCAAAAAAUAUUCAAUAUGAAAAGACCUUAAACGAUACGUUAUUGACAGUAGAUGAACAGUCACCCCUUACAGAGAACCAAACAGAAGACGACAUGCAACAAUUAUACUUAUGUUUAGAGAAGAUAGAAGAUUCCCGAUUAUUUAACGAAACGUCUUGUUAAAGUACUGUAUUUGGAGUGGGACUAAAAUCAAUUUCCUUAAAAUGAAUUUAAAGUGCUUGAAAUAAUGCUUACGUUAUUCUAAUGAUCUGGAAAUUUUUUUUUGUUUUGUUUACUUGUUUAACGUCGUUUAGAUAUUUUAUUUACUCAUACUAAGACGUCAAUAGGUACAUGUGUUAUGCCAAAUAGUUAGACUUGUGCAGGAUCACCAGGAUUGUAAAAAUCAGGGUUUGUAAUAUUUCCAACGCUAAAAAGAACUUUGGUUUCGAUGUCUCGUCCGAAAGACUCGCGCUCUCACUUCUAAACGCUGAUUGUUUGACGAAGGAGCAUUUACUGCCCAAAACCUCCCGGUCACAGAGCGAACCCACUUACCAUUUACCCAUAUUCAAUUUUUGUUAAAAUAUGUACCUACAUUUUCUGACAAUCCUGAAUUAUAAAACAUGUCAAAAUGUUGAGAUUACUUUUCCUCGAAUUUUCAAAUUUUGAUUAAAAUAUGGAGCGACAA